AUUGAACGCUGGCGGCAGGCCUGACACAUGCAAGUCGAGCGGAUGAAGGGAGCUUGCUCCUGGAUUCAGCGGCGGACGGGUGAGUAAUGCCUAGGAAUCUGCCUGGUAGUGGGGGAUAACGUCCGGAAACGGGCGCUAAUACCGCAUACGUCCUGAGGGAGAAAGAGGGGGAUCUUCGGACCUCACGCUAUCAGAUGAGCCUAGGUCGGAUUAGCUAGUUGGUGGGGUAAAGGCCUACCAAGGCGACGAUCCGUAACUGGUCUGAGAGGAUGAUCAGUCACACUGGAACUGAGACACGGUACAGACUCCUACGGGAGGCAGCAGUGGGGAAUAUUGGACAAUGGGCGAAAGCCUGAGCCAGCCAUGCCGCGUGUGUGAAGAAGGUCUUCGGAUUGUAAAGCACUUUAAGUUGGGAGGAAAGGCAGUAAGUUAAUACCUUGCUGUUUUGACGUGACCAAGAGAAUAAGCACCGGCUAACUUCGUG
rnacentral:rRNA from 1 species